rnacentral:rRNA from 1 species
UACAGAGGUCUCAAGCGUUGUUCGGAUUCAUUGGGCGUAAAGGGUGCGUAGGUGGCGAGGUUAGUCAGGUGUGAAAUCUCGGGGCUCAACCCCGAAACUGCACUUGAUACUGCCUUACUAGAGUACUGGAGAGGAGAUUGGAAUUUACGGUGUAGCAGUGAAAUGCGUAGAUAUCGUAAGGAAGACCAGUGGCGAAGGCGAAUCUCUGGACAGUUACUGACACUGAGGCACGAAGGCCAGGGGAGCAAACGGG